rfam:Felis catus isolate Cinnamon breed Abyssinian chromosome D4, whole genome shotgun sequence.
ACCUGGCUAGCUCAGUUAGUAGAGCAAGAGACUCUUGGUCUCAGGGUUGUGAGUUCAACCCCCAUGUUGGGUG